GGCACGGUGGCGCAGUGGUUAGCACUGCUGCCUAACAGCAAGAAGGUCAUGGGUUCAAAUGUGGCCUUUCUGUGCGG